rnacentral:rRNA from 1 species
UACGAAGGGAGCUAGCGUUACUCGGAAUUAUUGGGCGUAAAGCGUGCGUAGGCGGCUUUAUAAGUCAGAAGUGAAAGCCUGGGGCUCAACCUCAGAAUUGCUUUUGAUACUGUAGAGCUAGAGUAUCAUAGGGGAUAGCGGAAUUCCUAGUGUAGAGGUGAAAUUCGUAGAUAUUAGGAGGAACACCGGCGGCGAAGGCGGCUAUCUGGGUGAAUACUGACGCUGUUGCACGAAAGCGUGGGGAGCAAACAGG